AUCCAGUUGACGAGCCCCAAAUAGGACGUAACGUGCGUCCUGGAU
rnacentral:hammerhead_ribozyme from 1 species